UACGUAGGGUGCAAGCGUUAAUCGGAAUUACUGGGCGUAAAGCGUGCGCAGGCGGUUAUGUAAGACAGUUGUGAAAUCCCCGGGCUCAACCUGGGAACUGCAUCUGUGACUGCAUAGCUAGAGUACGGUAGAGGGGGAUGGAAUUCCGCGUGUAGCAGUGAAAUGCGUAGAUAUGCGGAGGAACACCGAUGGCGAAGGCAAUCCCCUGGAUCUGUACUGACGCUCAUGCACGAAAGCGUGGGGAGCAAACAGG
rnacentral:rRNA from 1 species